rnacentral:rRNA from 2 species
GAUCCGCAAAGUCGACCCGGGGAAUUCAGCUCAGCGCUGCAGGACGGCGAGUCGCGCUCAGGAUCCGUCAGGACCGCGUGGGCAUGCCAAGUUCCUCAGUGGCAGGGUGCACUUUCUCCGGGUCGAGCGCCACGACCGGUUCUGCGGCGGUCAGAAGCCCGGCGGGAAGGUGACCCGUCUCCGAGAGGGGACGGGAGUUAUAGCCCGUCGGUGCGGACUCGUUGCGGGACCGAGGACGCUUGCCGCGUUCCACGGCCUCGGGUCGUCUUCGCACGUGCGACCUCGGCUUACUGCUCGUCAGUGUGCCGUAACUGCGCGCGUUGCACGGACCCGUCAGCCCGGGACGCCUCGGGUCAGUGGCGAAUCGGUCGGUACUCCACCCGACCCGUCUUGAAACACGGACCAAGGAGUCUAACAUGUGCGCGAGUCAUAGGGUCUUACGAAACCCGAAGGCGCAAUGAAAGUGAAGGCCGCCUCCGGUUGGCCUAGGCAGGAUCCCGUCCCAAGCGGCGGGCGCACUGCCGGCCCGUCUCGGUAGCAUUGCCUACGAGGCGGAGCAAGAGCGCACACGUUGGGACCCGAAAGAUGGUGAACUAUGCCUGAGUAGGACGAAGUCAGAGGAAACUCUGAUGGAGGUCCGUAGCGAUUCUGACGUGCAAAUCGAUCGUCAAACUUGGGUAUAGGGGCGAAAGACUA